UACGUAGGUGGCAAGCGUUGUCCGGAUUUAUUGGGCGUAAAGCGCGCGCAGGCGGUCCGUUAAGUUCGAGGUGAAAUCUCCCGGCUCAACUGGGAGGGGUCUUCGGAUACUGGUGGACUUGAGGAGAGCAGAGGUGAGUGGAAUUCUGGGUGUAGUGGUGAAAUGCGUAGAUAUCCAGAGGAACACCAGUGGCGAAGGCGGCUCACUGGGCUCCACCUGACGCUGAGGCGCGAAAGCGUGGGGAGCGAACCGG
rnacentral:rRNA from 1 species